UACGUAGGGUGCAAGCGUUGUCCGGAAUUAUUGGGCGUAAAGAGCUCGUAGGCGGUUUGUCGCGUCGAAUGUGAAAACCCGGGGCUCAACCCCGGGCCUGCAUUCGAUACGGGCAGACUAGAGUUCGGUAGGGGAGUCUGGAAUUCCUGGUGUAGCGGUGAAAUGCGCAGAUAUCAGGAGGAACACCAGUGGCGAAGGCGAGUCCCUGGACGAUACCUGACACUGAGGCACGAAAGCGUGGGGAGCAAACAGG
rnacentral:rRNA from 1 species